rnacentral:tRNA from 1 species
GAGGGGAUAGCUCAGUGGUAGAGUGCAUACUUAGCAUGCAUGAGCUUCUGAGUUCAAUCCCCAGUACUGCCA